rnacentral:rRNA from 1 species
GAGGUAGAUAGGUUCGAGGUGGAAGUGUGGCGACACAUGGAGCUGACGAAUACUAAUCGAUCGAGGACUUAACCAC